AGCAACAGAUAUUAUACCCUGAAAGGACCACAUCCUGCCUGAUCUUGGAAGUCUAGCAGGACCAGGUCUGGUUAGUAUUUGGAUGGAGGACUGCCAAAUAAGUACAGACAUUGUAAGUU
rnacentral:rRNA from 11 species